rnacentral:rRNA from 1 species
UACGGGGGGGGCAAGCGUUGUUCGGAAUUACUGGGCGUAAAGGGCUCGUAGGCGGCCGACUCAGUCGGACGUGAAAUCCCUCGGCUUAACCGGGGAAUUGCGUCCGAUACUGGCCGGCUUGAAUCCGGGAGAGGGAUGUGGAAUUCCAGGUGUAGCGGUGAAAUGCGUAGAUAUCUGGAGGAACACCGGUGGCGAAGGCGGCAUCCUGGACCGGCAUUGACGCUGAGGAGCGAAAGCCAGGGGAGCAAAC